GGAGCAUCCGUGCUAAGGAUGCCGCCUUUGCCACACUCGUGUCAGACAGGUGGGUGCCGCUAGUGUUGGCUUCCCAGGGACUGGGUGGUUGAGGUGGGCCUGAGACUGCUGCUCUGAUUGGGCCGGGCCCUGCAGGUUCCUCAGGGAUUACUGUGAGCGAGGCUGCUUUUCUGAUUUGGAUCUCAUUGACAACCUGGGGCCAGCCAUGAUGCUCAGUGACCGACUGACAUUCCUGGGAAAGUAUCGCGAGUUCCACCGUAUGUACGGGGAGAAGCGUUUUGCUGACGCAGCUUCUCUCCUCCUGUCCUUGAUGACGUCUCGGAUUGCCCCUCGGUCUUUCUGGAUGACUCUGCUGACAGAUGCCUUGCCCCUUUUGGAACAG
rnacentral:sRNA from 1 species